UUGAGGGCUCUGGAGUGCUCUUCAAAACCGUCUUCUUCCUACCCUUUUCAGCAGACAGCAGCAUCUCAGGGAUGCCUUCCCCUCCCAGAGGGGCCAGAGGUGGGCAGGGAACAGAAACCUCAAAGAGUCCUGCAGCUCUCUCGGCGGGAAGCCGCCCCAGCCCUUCUUGAGGCGUGCGCCCAAAAUGCACUUCUUCUAGGUGGAGGAAUGUCUGACGAUGGGAACGUUGAUCUUAAUCAUGCCAGGUGAAAAGCUUGAGGAGCCGUGCACACAGACGGUGAAACGAUCAUCAAAGAAUAGGCUGCGGCAGGCUGGAUGGUAACGAUG
rnacentral:lncRNA from 1 species